AUCGAACGCUGGCGGCAGGCCUAACACAUGCAAGUCGAGCGAGCGGCGGACGGGUGAGUAAUGUCUGGGAAACUGCCUGAUGGAGGGGGAUAACGACUGGAAACGGUGGCUAAUACCGCAUACCAUCAGAUGUGCCCAGAUGGGAUUAGCUAGUAGGUGGGGUAAUGGCUCACCUAGGCGACGAUCCCUAGCUGGUCUGAGAGGAUGACCAGCCACACUGGAACUGAGACACGGUCCAGACUCCUACGGGAGGCAGCAGGGGGGAAUAUGGCACAAGGGGGGCAAGCCUGAUGCAGCCAUGCGGCGUGUGUGAAGAAGGCCUUCGGGUGGUAAAGCACUUUCAGCGGGGAGGCGUUACCCGCAGAAGAAGCACCAGCUAACUCCGUGCCAGCAGCCGCGGUAAUUC
rnacentral:rRNA from 1 species